GACAGAGGGUGCUAGCGUUGUUCGGAAUUACUGGGCGUAAAGCGCACGUAGGCGGCUUUGUAAGUUAGAGGUGAAAGCCCGGGGCUCAACUCCGGAAUUGCCUUUAAAACUGCAUCGCUAGAAUUGUGGAGAGGUAAGUGGAAUUCCGAGUGUAGAGGUGAAAUUCGUAGAUAUUCGGAAGAACACCAGUGGCGAAGGCGACUCGCUGGACAAGUAUUGACGCUGAGGUGCGAAAGCGUGGGGAGCAAACAGG
rnacentral:rRNA from 1 species